rnacentral:rRNA from 1 species
UACGUAGGGGGCCAGCGUUGUUCGGAAUUACUGGGUGUAAAGGGUUCGUAGGCGGUGCGGCAAGUUGGGAGUGAAAUCUCUGGGCUCAACCCAGAGACGGCUUCCAAAACUGCUGUGCUUGAGUGUGGGAGAGGCUCGUGGAAUUGCAGGUGUAGCGGUGAAAUGCGUAGAUAUCUGCAGGAACACCCGUGGCGAAGGCGGCAUCCUGGACCAACACUGACACUGAGGAGCGAAAGCCAGGGGAGCAAACGGG